rnacentral:lncRNA from 1 species
UUUUUUUAAUAAUACAGCUUCAUUUAUUAAAACAGCAUUUCACUUAAACAGUGUAAAGGGAAAAAAUAAGUAGUGAUUCAGGAAAACAACUAACAAUUCAAAAACAGUAAAUUGAAUACUUUAGUAGUAAAUUGAAAUAUCUUAUCAAAUAAAUAGUAACUUUGAAGGACUUCAAUAAUUGAAACAAGUAGUUACUGUUUGUAUUGCAGUGCUGGAAACAGGACCCAGCCAAAAAGCAUUGUGUUUAAGGAACAAAUACAGUGAGAAGCUGACCUCUGACUGAAAGCUAUAUAUGAAAAUACACAAGUGGAAUGGGUUGGACUUUCAGAGUUACUGUACCCUGUUUUAACACAAAAAAAAAAAAAGAAAAACCAAACCAAAACGAAACAAAAGAAAACUCAACCCACUAAGCUGAGAUUCAGAGAUAAACACAAAGCGGUGCCUUGCACAUGCAAGGUUAAAAAAGUUUCCUAUGAGAUAUUGGAAUGAAACUGUCUCAUUACAUUUGAUUAGUAAUGGGUCUGAUAAAUCCAUCCCCUCACACACAUCACCCAUAAGCAUUAGUAUUUCUGUAACAACAUAAUCCUGUCAUCUUAAGACUUCCCAUUCAACUUCUGCUUUUAAAGAAACACCACCCCAAAUUUUCUCAUGCUGCCCUAACUAAAGAAAAACAUGGGGAAAAAAAAAGCAGAAUGUACUUCACUGGACACAUACUGUAAGUAAACUGAAUUUAUUAACAAUAGAAGUUACAACGCACUGAACUAACAGGGAAGUUUAUGAAGUUUUGGUUUUCUUUUUCCCAUGACUGAUCUAUCCGAACGCUUUAAACUAAAGAGCGUUAGGUUUGCACACAACGCCACAUGCCGGCUAAGCGACAGCGAAAGUCACCCGAGGUACGACACAAGAGCCGGGAGCAGCACUGCCGGCCGCUCACGGCGGGAUAACACGCUCUUCCCGGCCGGGCGGCCCCGCCGCCUCUCUGGGCGCUUCCUCGCUCCCACAGCCCCGAGGAAGACAGAACAACCCCCAGCCCACCGCCCGAGCUGCCCUGCCCGAGGGAGCGGCACGGUAAUCUCCGCAGCACCCCGGCCCCGAGGCCGGUUCCUUCCCCUCUCUCCCAGCACCAGACCUAUUGCCGCUCCCCCCAUACCCGCGCACUGUGCCCCCACCCGCCGUGGGGCCACCUCUACCCCGGCGGCACCACCGCCGCUACCGCUGUCCCCCUGCAGAGCCCGGCACCGCGCCCGGGGCCGCCCCACUCCGCCCCACGGGUACCUGCGCUGCACCAGCCGCCGCUGGCCGCGCAGCCCGGAACUCACCAGCUGGCCCGCCGCUG